AGUGAACGCUGGCGGUAGGCCUAACACAUGCAAGUCGAACGGCAGCACAGUAAGAGCUUGCUCUUACGGGUGGCGAGUGGCGGACGGGUGAGGAAUACAUCGGAAUCUACUUUUUCGUGGGGGAUAACGUAGGGAAACUUACGCUAAUACAGCAUACGACCUACGGGUGAAAGCAGGGGAUCUUCGGACCUUGCGCGAUUGAAUGAGCCGAUGUCGGAUUAGCUAGUUGGCGGGGUAAAGGCCCACCAAGGCUACGAUCCGUAGCUGGUCUGAGAGGAUGAUCCGCCACACUGGAACUGAGACACGGUCCAGACUCCUACGGGAGGCAGCAGUGGGGAAUAUUGGACAAUGGGCGCAAGCCUGAUCCAGCCCUACCGCGUGGGUGAAGAAGGCCUUCGGGUUGUAAAGCCCUUUUGUUGGGAAAGAAAAGCAGCAGGUUAAUACCCCGCUGUUCUGACGGUACCCAAAGAAUAAGCACCGGCUAACUUCGUG
rnacentral:rRNA from 1 species